rnacentral:tRNA from 1 species
GGACAGUUAGCUCAGUUGGUGGAGCAUCGGUCUUACACACCGAGGGUCACAGGUUCAAGUCCUGUACUGUCCACCA